rnacentral:rRNA from 1 species
AACGAACGCUGGCGGCGUGCCUAAAACAUGCAAGUCGAGCGAGAACGGGAGCAAUCCCUAGUAAAGCGGCGCACGGGUGCGUAACACGUGGGUAAUCUGCCUCGGAGAGUGGGAUAACUAGCCGAAAGGUUAGCUAAUACCGCAUAAGCCCACGGGAUCCUCGGAUCCUGAGGGAAAAGGCGGCCCCUGUAUACAAGCUGUCACUCCGAGAUGAGCCCGCGGCCCAUCAGCUAGUUGGCGGUGUAAGAGACCACCAAGGCAAUGACGGGUAGCUGGUCUGAGAGGGCGAUCAGCCACACCGGAACUGAGACACGGUCCAGACUCCUACGGGAGGCAGCAGUUGGGAAUAUUGCGCAAUGGGCGAAAGCCUGACGCAGCAACGCCGCGUGAGCGAUGAAGGUCUUCGGAUCGU